rnacentral:rRNA from 1 species
GAUGAACGCUGGCGGCGUGCUUAACACAUGCAAGUCGAACGAACCUUCGGGUUAGUGGCGGACGGGUGAGUAACGCGUGGGAAUCUGCCCUCAGGAGGGGGGAUAACGGCUGGAAACGACCGCUAAUACCCCAUAUGCCGAGAGGUGAAAUGAAUUUCGCCUGAGGAUGAGCCCGCGUCUGAUUAGCUUGUUGGUGAGGUAAUGGCUCACCAAGGCUUCGAUCAGUAGCUGGUCUGAGAGGAUGAUCAGCCACACUGGGACUGAGACACGGCCCAGACUCCUACGGGAGGCAGCAGUGGGGAAUUUUCCGCAAUGGGCGAAAGCCUGACGGAGCAACGCCGCGUGAGGGAUGAAGGCCUCUGGGCUGUAAACCUCUUUUCUCAAGGAAGAAGAUAUGACGGUACUUGAGGAAUAAGCCACGGCUAAUUCCGUGCCAGCAGCCGCGGUAAUACGGGAGUGGCAAGCGUUACCCGGAAUUAUUGGGCGUAAAGCGUCCGCAGGCGGCCUUUCAAGUCUGCUGUUAAAACGUGGAGCUCAACUCCAUCAUGGCAGUGGAAACUGAUUGGCUUGAGUAUGGUAGGGGCAGAGGGAAUUCCCGGUGUAGCGGUGAAAUGCGUAGAUAUCGGGAAGAAUACCAGUGGCGAAGGCGCUCUGCUGGGCCAUUACUGACGCUCAUGGACGAAAGCCAGGGGAGCGAAAGGGAUUAGAUACCCCUGUAGUCCUGGCCGUAAACGAUGAACACUAGGUGUCGGGGGAAUCGACCCCUUCGGUGUCGUAGCUAACGCGAUAAGUGUUCCGCCUGGGGAGUACGCACGCAAGUGUGAAACUCAAAGGAAAUGACGGGGGCCCGCACAAGCGGUGGAGUAUGUGGUUUAAUUCGAUGCAACGCGAUGAACCUUACCAGGAUUUGACAUCCUGCGAACCUUUAAGAAAUUAGAGGGUGCCUUCGGGAACGCAGUGACAGGUGGUGCAUGGCUGUCGUCAGCUCGUGUCGUGAGAUGUUGGGUUAAGUCCCGCAACGAGCGCAACCCACGUUUUUAGUUGCCAGCAUUUAGUUGGGCACUCUAGAAAGACCGCCGGUGAUAAACCGGAGGAAGGUGUGGAUGACGUCAAGUCAUCAUGCCCCUUACAUCCUGGGCUACACACGUACUACAAUGCUACGGACAAAGGGCAGCAAACUCGCGAGAGCUAGCAAAUCCCAUAAACCGUGGCUCAGUUCAGAUCGUAGGCUGCAACUCGCCUACGUGAAGUAGGAAUCGCUAGUAAUCGCAGGUCAGCAUACUGCGGUGAAUACGUUCCCGGGCCUUGUACACACCGCCCGUC